rnacentral:snRNA from 1 species
AUCACUUCUCAGCCUUUUGGCUAAGAUCAAGUGUAGUAUCUGUUCUUAUUAGUUUAAUAUCUGAUAUGCCCCUAUCCGAGAACAAUAUAUUUAGUGGACUUUUGGAGCAGGGAGUUGGAAUAGGAGCUUGUUCUGUCCACUCCACGCAUUGACUUGGUAUUGUAGUACUUCCAGAAACGGUGCAACUCAU